AAAGCCACGGCUAACUACGUGCCAGCAGCCGCGGUAAUACGUAGGUGGCAAGCGUUGUCCGGAUUUAUUGGGCGUAAAGCGAGCGCAGGCGGUUUUUUAAGUCUGAUGUGAAAGCCUUCGGCUCAACCGAAGAAGUGCAUCGGAAACUGGGAAACUUGAGUGCAGAAGAGGACAGUGGAACUCCAUGUGUAGCGGUGAAAUGCGUAGAUAUAUGGAAGAACACCAGUGGCGAAGGCGGCUGUCUGGUCUGUAACUGACGCUGAGGCUCGAAAGUAUGGGUAGCAAACAGGAUUAGAUACCCUGGUAGUCCAUACCGUAAACGAUGAAUGCUAAGUGUUGGAGGGUUUCCGCCCUUCAGUGCUGCAGCUAACGCAUUAAGCAUUCCGCCUGGGGAGUACGGCCGCAAGGCUGAAACUCAAAGGAAUUGACGGGGGCCCGCACAAGCGGUGGAGCAUGUGGUUUAAUUCGAAGCUACGCGAAGAACCUUACCAGGUCUUGACAUACUAUGCAAAUCUAAGAGAUUAGACGUUCCCUUCGGGGACAUGGAUACAGGUGGUGCAUGGUUGUCGUCAGCUCGUGUCGUGAGAUGUUGGGUUAAGUCCCGCAACGAGCGCAACCCUUAUUAUCAGUUGCCAGCAUUAAGUUGGGCACUCUGGUGAGACUGCCGGUGACAAACCGGAGGAAGGUGGGGAUGACGUCAAAUCAUCAUGCCCCUUAUGACCUGGGCUACACACGUGCUACAAUGGAUGGUACAACGAGUUGCGAACUCGCGAGAGUAAGCUAAUCUCUUAAAGCCAUUCUCAGUUCGGAUUGUAGGCUGCAACUCGCCUACAUGAAGUCGGAAUCGCUAGUAAUCGCGGAUCAGCAUGCCGCGGUGAAUACGUUCCCGGGCCUUGUACACACCGCCCGUCACACCAUGAGAGUUUGUAACACCCAAAGUCGGUGGGGUAACCUUUUAGGAACCAGCC
rnacentral:rRNA from 2 species